GUAGUCCAUGCCGUAAACGUUGGGCACUAGGUGUGGGGGACAUUCCACGUUUUCCGCGCCGUAGCUAACGCAUUAAGUGCCCCGCCUGGGGAGUACGGCCGCAAGGCUAAAACUCAAAGGAAUUGACGGGGGCCCGCACAAGCGGCGGAGCAUGCGGAUUAAUUCGAUGCAACGCGAAGAACCUUACCAAGGCUUGACAUGGACCGGACCGCCGCAGAAAUGUGGUUUCCCCUUUGGGGCCGGUUCACAGGUGGUGCAUGGUUGUCGUCAGCUCGUGUCGUGAGAUGUUGGGUUAAGUCCCGCAACGAGCGCAACCCUCGUUCCAUGUUGCCAGCGCGUAAUGGCGGGGACUCAUGGGAGACUGCCGGGGUCAACUCGGAGGAAGGUGGGGACGACGUCAAAUCAUCAUGCCCCUUAUGUCUUGGGCUUCACGCAUGCUACAAUGGCCGGUACAAAGGGUUGCGAUACUGUGAGGUGGAGCUAAUCCCAAAAAGCCGGUCUCAGUUCGGAUUGGGGUCUGCAACUCGACCCCAUGAAGUCGGAGUCGCUAGUAAUCGCAGAUCAGCAACGCUGCGGUGAAUA
rnacentral:rRNA from 1 species